UUCAGUUGGAGAUAUAUCAACCUUGCAGCCCGAGACCAGUUACUCACUGAAGGCAAGCAGGGCUGAGCCUGGUCAGUACCUGGAUGGGAGACUACAUGGGAAAACUAGGUUGCUGUUGUAG
ensembl:rRNA 5S_rRNA 5S ribosomal RNA